GAUGAACGCUAGCUACAGGCUUAACACAUGCAAGUCGAGGGGUAACGAGAGGAAAGCUUGCUUUCCUUGUCGACGACCGGCGCACGGGUGAGUAACGCGUAUCCAACCUGCCCCCAACUAAGGAAUAACCUUGCGAAAGUAAGACUAAUACCUUAUAAUUUCCUCAGAUGACAUCUGACGAGGAAUAAAGAUUUAUCGGUUGUGGAUGGGGAUGCGUCUGAUUAGCUUGUUGGCGGGGUAACGGUCCACCAAGGAAACGAUCAGUAGGGGUUCUGAGAGGAAGGUCCCCCACAUUGGAACUGAGGCACGGUUCAAACUCCUACGGGAGGCAGCAGUGAGGAAUAUUGGUCAAUGGGCGGAAGCCUGAACCAGCCAAGUAGCGUGCAGGAUGACGGCCCUAUGGGUUGUAAACUGCUUUUAUACAGGAAUAAAGUUAGCCACGUGUGGUUAUUUGUAGGUACUGUAUGAAUAAGGACCGGCUAAUUCCGUGCCAGCCGCCGCGGUAA
rnacentral:rRNA from 1 species